UCUUCUGAGUUCAUAUCAGUGUGACAUCAGUGGAGAAGAUCACAUCACCUGAGCUCCUGCCUAAUCUAGAGACCAUCACCAUGCUGCCACAGUCAACACCUCUGAAACCAUCAAGGAUGACUCAUACUGAGGAAACUGUACUUCGUGUCAGAGUCCAGUGAUCUACAGAGCAGAGAAAGGUACUGCUGUCUUCUGAGUUUUUCAGUUUCCAAACUGAGAUAUUCAAACCUCAUCACAGAGCUUGUGUCUAUCUUCACCAAUCUCACACUCACAUGGUGUGAGAUUGCUCUGGCCUGCAGCACCUAUGAGAACAAGCUCGUCCUGCAUGCCUGCAUUUCAGCUUCUUAGACUCUACACAAGUGGACAGAGUGUCAGUGUUUGACCGCUCUUAUAGACACCGACUUCUGUCACCUCACUGCUACUGAUCUGGCACCUCACUCCAGGAAGACAGAGGGUUGCAAGCCUGUCAUCGUUUCCAGUGUGACUUUGCAUUCCAUUGUGUAAAUUAUAUUUUAUAUGUUUUUGUCUUCUUUUUGAUUUAGAUGCAGUGAUCGGAUAUGCUGGGGCUUUGUUAACA